GUUAAAUUUUGCCUUUUAUUUUUUUUUUGUGUUUGCAGAUGUUCUCAAACAACGAUGAAGCUGCAAUCAACAAAAAACUGCCCAAAGAGCUGCUGCUUCGAAUUUUCUCUUUCCUGGACGUGGUCACUCUGUGUCGUUGUGCUCAAGUUUCCAGGGCAUGGAAUGUUCUGGCCCUGGAUGGCAGUAACUGGCAGCGAAUUGACCUGUUUGAUUUCCAGAGGGAUAUCGAGGUAUAAUUAAGUCACAUACAAACUCAUUUU